AAAGCCUUAGCUUAAUUAAAGUGUCUGUUUUGCAUGCAGAAGAUGUAGGCUAGAUGCCUGCAGGUUUUA
rnacentral:tRNA from 1 species